UCUGGGGUAGGAGUGAAAUCCUGUAAUCCUGGAGGUUUCGCCGAUGGCGAAACCACCUCAAGACGACGGAUCCGACAGUGAGGGACGAAAGCUAGGGUCUCGAACCGGAUUAGAUACCCGGGUAGUCCUAGCCGUAAACGAUGUUCGCUAGAUGUGGCACAGGCUACGUCCCUGUUGCUGUGUCGUAGGGAAGCCGAGAAGCGAACCGC
rnacentral:rRNA from 1 species